CUUGUAAUUUGCCUUUUUCAGGGACCAACAAUUGUGGAUCAAGUUGUGAACAUAACCCCAGCUGAAGAUUACAUCUACAUCCCUGUUAUUGAACAGGUAUACAAUUGAGUAACUUAUGUUUUGGUCAAUGAGGUGACUCGUACAAGUUCAACUCCUAAUGCAGAUUGGAGUACUCCUCUUCAGAGAGGCAAUCCAUGUGAAGGAUAUUGAACAAUCAAAUUUGCAGGAGAAAAAUCAGAGCUGACCUGUGCACAUUAAAGAGUAAACAAUGUUGCUAAAUGUUUCAUGUUUUUUUAGUGUCUAACUGGGAGAUAAACAAUGUAUGCCUUUCAGCAUUUGGCUUCUCUGCAUAAGUGCAAUAGGCCUCUACAAUAUCAUCCAUUGGGACCACCAUGUCUAUCAAGCCCUCUCACCAUACUACAUGAUGCACGUUUUGUUUAUAGCCUUCAGUGUUUAUUUUCUGACCCCUGGUUAGUCCAAUUCUACUAAUUCCUACUUUCAUGGCUCUACAGCAGCAACAACCGGUCACCAGCUCCUCUCCUCGUGCCUCCGCGCCGCUGCUCCUGCCGUUUAGACCAAUUUUUUUCGCUGGCAAUAUAGGGAUGCCAUAACAAUAAUCCCAUGGAUAUGAUCAUUUUAAAUUGAUCAAUAAUUCUCAGUUGUAUGGAUGGUUGAUGCGUGGCGGAGGUGGAGGAGGCGGUUGUGGGGAAGCCCGUGGGAAGAAUCUUCCCUGGUUUUGGAAGAGAUCUGGAGAAUUAGUUACAAAGAUUUGUUUGAAUGCUGAGAAUGAGAUAAUACACACCCUUGCAUUCUUAGCUGGUGCCAUGGUUUUGUCACAGGUACUAAUGAGAUCUAAUGAGAUAACCACCGUCUUGGUUUUGUAUAUUGUUAGCUGUGAUCUAAUGAGAUUAUUAUUUUUCAGAAAUGAAGAAAUACCCGUUUUGAGCUAUAUAAUUUUGAAUUUCAAUGGGAUUUCGCAAAACUAAAAACUAGGUUGUGCUUCCUUUAAUUUAAACUACAUACUUGAUUAUCCAUAUUUUCAUAUGAUUUGUUUGUGCUUUGACACUAUUAUGUAAAUAAAUUAACCUCAAAAAAUAUAUUUGCUAAGAUCAACAUCAUUUUACCUA